UACAGAGGUCUCAAGCGUUGUUCGGAUUCAUUGGGCGUAAAGGGUGCAUAGGUGGCGCUGUAAGUCGGGUGUGAAAUUUCGGAGCUUAACUCCGAAACUGCAUUCGAUACUGCGGUGCUUGAGGACUGGAGAGGAGACUGGAAUUCAUGGUGUAGCAGUGAAAUGCGUAGAUAUGCGGAGGAACACCGAUGGCGAAGGCAAUCCCCUGGACCUGUACUGACGCUCAUGCACGGAAGCGUGGGGAGCAAACAGG
rnacentral:rRNA from 1 species